rnacentral:ncRNA from 1 species
GAUAGUAGCAAAUAUUCAAGUGAGAUCCUUGAUGAUUGAAGUGGACAAGGAUUCCACGUGAACAGCGGUUGAAUAUGGGUUAGUCGAACUUAAGAUAUUGACUAAUGCGGAUGCGGAUUAUUGAGAACAGAAUUUCAAAUCCAUCUCGGCA